rnacentral:rRNA from 1 species
AUGUUCAAAUGCCUAUAUUCCAACAGAGUAUGGAACAUGAUUUAUGAUUGGUUGGGUAUGCAGUCUGCAAUGCCCUCAUGGAGCGAUCUACAGACAGUUAAACAAUGAUGAUCCGCCAGCGUGGGACGACCUCUCUACCGUAAGGCGGCUAACUCCCUACAAAUGCUCGUCUGUUGGGAGAUUUGGAACGAGAGAAAUGUUAGGGUCUUCUGUAACAAGGAAUCUCUACCCACAAGAGUGGUAGCGAUAAUCAAGGAGGAGGCCAAGACGUGGGUGUUAACCGGAGCUAGUUUUUGGGUAAUUUAA